ACUCCUACGGGAGGCAGCAGUGGGGAAUAUUGCACAAUGGGCGCAAGCCUGAUGCAGCCAUGCCGCGUGUAUGAAGAAGGCCUUCGGGUUGUAAAGUACUUUCAGCGGGGAGGAAGGUGUUGAGGUUAAUAACCUCAGCAAUUGACGUUACCCGCAGAAGAAGCACCGGCUAACUCCGUGCCAGCAGCCGCGGUAAUACGGAGGGUGCAAGCGUUAAUCGGAAUUACUGGGCGUAAAGCGCACGCAGGCGGUCUGUCAAGUCGGAUGUGAAAUCCCCGGGCUCAACCUGGGAACUGCAUUCGAAACUGGCAGGCUAGAGUCUUGUAGAGGGGGGUAGAAUUCCAGGUGUAGCGGUGAAAUGCGUAGAGAUCUGGAGGAAUACCGGUGGCGAAGGCGGCCCCCUGGACAAAGACUGACGCUCAGGUGCGAAAGCGUGGGGAGCAAACAGGAUUAGAAACCCUAGUAGUCCCA
rnacentral:rRNA from 1 species